rnacentral:rRNA from 1 species
CCUGAACGCUGGCGGCGUGGCUAAGACAUGCAAGUCGCACGGGGUAGCAAUACCCAGUGGCGAACGGGAGAGUAAUGAAUCGCUAACGUACCCCGGACUCUGGGAUAGCCAUCCGAAAGG